ensembl:lncRNA
AUGCCACCCAUGGUGGGGGAAAAAAAGCAUCGUGGUAAGUCCCAAGUUUCCCAUCUAAGUGUUCACCGCCCUCUUUUUUCUCCCCAGGCUGCAAUGGCUACCAAGGAGCCACCUGCCCCAAGUUCUGCCGCUGCGGGCGGUGAUACUCCGGCCAGCAGCACUCCUGCGAUGGCUCAGGAAGCACCGGUGGAAGCCAGCAAGCCGACUUCCCCAGACCAGGAGGGUCCCGCUCAGCCGCCGCCAGGAAUCCGGCCGCAGCUUGUGGAUAUUUCAACACCAGAACCUGGGGGAGAACUUGCCCCAGCCCUACUGGCAUGAUGGAUCUGCACACGGUGAGGGGAUGCCAAGAGCUGUGAUCUGGUGUCCACAAUGUGCCUGCAACCCAAGUUACCUCAUCCUGCACUUGAAGAGACCCCAAACUUCACCAGUCCCACCCCCCUUUUUGCUGCUGUUGAAGUCCCACUUGAAAAGAAAAAAAAUUAAACCUGAGGGGGGAAACCUGACCAAAAAAAAAGAAAAGUCACUUUGCUUUAAAAUCCUUGUGAGGGGCUUGCCUUCCCCCUCCCGCAGCUUUUGCCAGUUUGAGAGAAAGAAACUGGUUGUUGAAUCUUCAGUUAAUUUUUUCUCCCCCCGUUGUUGAAGAACACCCUGUGUGAACCAUUGCGUGCAGUUUGGGCGUCAGUAAAAAAACAAAAGCACAGACUUCUGUCUCAUCUGUGUGUGUGUGUGUGUGUGUGGUCAAGAAACCAGUCAUCGUUUAAACAGUAGAAAAAGGAGCUUGUUCACCAUUCUUCUCUCGCAAUCUGUGCCGAAAACCAUGAUCUUUAAAAAGUAAUCCUAAAACUGUUUCCAUAAGUAGGAAACUGGGUUCAUGGUAGUGACUGUUAUGUAAACGAAGGCUUGUUGAAGCCUGUACAGCAGGACCAAAUAUAUAGAAGGGAGAUCAGGAAUACCUACUGGCAGAUUUGUGGAUGGUUUGCCAUAUAUAUCCAAAGGGUUUCUUGGCUUUUGGUUCAGCACGGAAGCAACAAAAUGUUUCUUGUGCCUUAAAAGGCAGAGCUGAAACUAAGAAAGUUUCAGGUUGACGAGGAACAGUUCUGUGCAGAAUGACUGUAACCUCUGUUCAACUCGGGUGCUGAAAUGCCUGCGCCCAGUUUAUAUCUUUUGCUGGUUCUUUUGCCACGGGCAAAGGAUAUCCUGCCAGCCUGAUGUCUGCCCAGCUUUGCCCUGCCAAGCAUAGUGUGAACAAUAUCCAGGUCACAACUGAUGCUGGGUGGGGGCGGGAGAUUCAGUAUCGGUUGAGGAGAUGCUGGAGGGAACAUCCUUCCCACUAUAUAAUCAAACACGACUGGUUCCGCGGGCACGUUCUGUGGGUCAUCUAUCCUAAAGGAAGUGAACAAAAGUUCAGGAGAUGGGGCGUUAAGGUAUUGGUGCAGUCUGUUUUCUCCCUCCACCAUUCCUACGUUGAAAGGAACUGGCCCUUGUCUUCGCCUACAUCUUUCUUGGUCCCCUUGCCCAUUCUGUAAGAAGGACAGCUACAGAAUCUACUGUACAUCAGCGGGUGCAAGAGACAGAAAGACAUCAGCCUCUAAGUCACCGUUCGUAAUCCCACAUAGGAGUUGCCCACUGUUCUUAAACGCUGUCACUGCAUAUAUGUUACGUACAUAUUUUUAAUAUUUGCACACCACCUGACUUAGUGCUAAGCACAACUCGGGGCAGUUAUCAGUAACUAUAAGAAAAUCAACUCUUAACCCAAACCAAACCCUGCACAAUCAACGCCUUUUUACCGACACCAAUAAAAAUGAAACCAAAGACA